rnacentral:rRNA from 1 species
GUGGGGAAUAUUGGACAAUGGGCGAAAGCCUGAUCCAGCCAUGCCGCGUGCAGGAUGAAGGCCUUCGGGUUGUAAACUGCUUUUGCACGGAACGAAAAGACUCCUUCUAAUAAAGGGGGUCCAUGACGGUACCGUAAGAAUAAGCACCGGCUAACUACGUGCCAGCAGCCGCGGUAAUACGUAGGGUGCAAGCGUUAAUCGGAAUUACUGGGCGUAAAGCGUGCGCAGGCGGUUAUAUAAGACAGAUGUGAAAUCCCCGGGCUCAACCUGGGAACUGCAUUUGUGACUGUAUAGCUAGAGUACGGUAGAGGGGGAUGGAAUUCCGCGUGUAGCAGUGAAAUGCGUAGAUAUGCGGAGGAACACCGAUGGCGAAGGCAAUCCCCUGGACCUGUACUGACGCUCAUGCACGAAAGCGUGGGGAGCAAACAGGAUUAGAUACCCCUGUAGUCC